AAAAGGGGGAGGCUUCAACGAAGAAAAGAGAAAAAAACAGAGUGCAGGAAGAACGGGCUGGAAAUCGGAGAGGCUUGAGAACAGAGGGGCAACAAGGCAAGGGAAAAAACAGAAAAACUGAGAAAAGCGGAGAAAUUGAGAGGGCCGAGAGAGGAAGAGACCGAGGGGGUUUCGUCUGAGAGCCAAAGAAAAGCUAAAAAAAGGGCUACGGGAAACUAAGGAAAAAAAGGAAGAAAAAACAAAAGGGGAAGUGAGAAUAGGAGGGUCUGGUGACGACGGGGUGAGGAGAAAACAGAGGAAGAGAAAAAGAACUAGAGGCGGCCGAGGAAAAAGGUUGAGAGGGAAGCUCGGCUGAAGGAAAAAUCUGGGCAAAAAAAAAGGAGAGAGUGACAGGCCGAAGAAGAAAACUGGAAAACAGAGAGGGAGUCUUAGGCAAGAGCCAAGGGAGAAUCUGAAAGAUUGGGGGAAGUUUUCCAGGAAGAAAUAAACAAGCGAGAGAGAGUAAAAAUAAGGGAAGAAAAUAGAGAUUCGUCUGGGGGCUUCGGGAAAAGAGAGGAAGAGCAGAAAAAGAUACCUUCGUCGUGGGGGGCGGCGGACAGAAAAACAGAGGGGAUUUUUCGGAGAAGCAAAACUAGAAAGGGAGUCCAAGAAAACUUCGGCUUCGGUUGAAAAACAGAAACAGAGGAAGAAGACAAAGGCGCUGAGCAAGAGAAGAAGGGGUAGUCUGAGGAAGAAGCCGCGACCGGAGCCGUAACUCCCACCGAUUCGUCGGAAUCCGCCACUGCCGCCGUCAAUCGUCACCGUGAGAGGCCACUGUGAGGUAACCUCUUCGUUUACAUUUCAGUCUUCCGUCAAAAUAUGUCUGCUGUGAAGUUGGCAUUUCAAUUUCCCUGUCGAUUGUUCAUGGCCUUUUGGAAUACACAUGCUCUGUAAGUUUAUUGGAAUGUAUUUCUUGGGUUGCUGAUAAAAUUUUGGGCUAGUUAUAGUUUCAAUUUGAGCGAGAAUCUAGUGAAAUAUUAAUGCCCGUUUGUUGCUCGAUAAAAUGCCCAACCGAAUAUUAUGAUUGAAAGAUGACUUGCCUGCAGUUUGCGUGAAAGGAAAAUGACAUGGUCAGCAAGUGCAAUGGUAAAAUGUAAAGUUUUUUUGAGGGUUUCUCGCGUGCUUAUUUUGGCGCCAUUUCUGUUUUCUUUGCCUUAUUCUUCCCUAU
rnacentral:lncRNA from 1 species